UACGUAGGGGGCGAGCGUUGUCCGGAAUCAUUGGGCGUAAAGCGCGUGUAGGCGGUCCUGUAAGUCCGCUGUGAAAGUCGGGGGCUCAACCCUCGGAUGCCGGUGGAUACUGUCGGGCUUGAGUACGGAAGAGGCGAGUGGAAUACCUGGUGUAGCGGUGAAAUGCGCAGAUAUCAGGAGGAACACCAAUUGCGAAGGCAGCUCGCUGGGACGUUACUGACGCUGAGACGCGAAAGCGUGGGGAGCAAACAGG
rnacentral:rRNA from 1 species